CCGAGAGCCUGAGCCCUGCUGGCGGGGAGCAGUCCAGCACCCGCCACCUGUGGGGGGCUCAGCACUCACCACCGGUGGGGAUUCAGAUCCCGCUGCCCAUGGUGGCUCGGAGCUCAGGGUCUCCCACUGCCCACAGUAGGUCAGAGCUCUGGGGCCGGCGGCUCAGAGCUCCAGGUGCCCCCACUGCAGAACAGUUUUCAGAGACACAUACAACACUAUACAAGCGAGAAAGAGGCUAAAGAGGCAUUACAAUUAAAUGAAGAAAAGAAAAUUGCCAUUUUGUUGGUGGGUAUCUUAAUUCUUACUAUUGACUAAGGUUAAGAUUUUGUCACAGUUAUAUCUAGUAAAAAUCAUGGAGCGGUCACGGGCCAUAAACAAAAAUUCACAGGAGCCCAUGACCUGUUGGGGACUUUUACUAAAAAUAAUCGGGGGGAGGGGAGCUGAUGGGGGAUGACUGAAGUCCGGGGGGGGGCAGGGCGGCCGAGAGCCUGAGCCCUGCUGGCGGGGAGCAGUCCAGCACCCGCCACCUGUGGGGGGCUCAGCACUCACCACCGGUGGGGAUUCAGAUCCCGCUGCCCAUGGUGGCUCGGAGCUCAGGGUCUCCCACUGCCCACAGUAGGUCAGAGCUCUGGGGCCGGCGGCGCAGAGCUCCAGGUGCCCCCACUGCAGAACAGUUUUCAGAGACACAUACAACACUAUACAAGCGAGAAAGAGGCUAAAGAGGCAUUACAAUUAAAUGAAGAAAAGAAAAUUGCCAUUUUGUUGACAAAGACAGAAACAGAGAGGCAGGAAAUUGUUUCUCAUUUUGAACGACUUCAUCAGAUUGUGAAGGAGGAAGAGCAGCGUCUUCUGAGAGAGCUGGAUGAGAUGGAAAAGGUCAUUCAGGAGUCAAAGAAUGAAUAUGUUACUAAACUGUCCGAGGAAAUAGCACGCUAUGAUAAAUACAUAACUGAGAGGAAGGAGGCGUGCAAGAAGACACCAGCGGAAAUAUGCAUGGUCAGAGAAGUUGCAUUCUAAGUAUAGAAAAAAGGGAGGCUCCUUUGCCCUAACAUGGGACUUCAGGGUUCUGAACUCGUUAUCUAUUUGUAUUUUAGUGGAGUGCCAGCUCUACAACGUUAAGGUUUAGCAUCACUUUCUGUUUAAAAUCCAAGUGCUCUAAAAUCCACAUUUAAUUUGGAUGGUCUUGAAAAUCACUAUACCUGAUGGGAGUACAAGGUAGAGUACUAGGUCCAAAUUUUUGGUCAUUUCAACAACAUACAGUCCCGUCCCCCCCAAAAACAAACAAACAAACCCUAAAACAAUAGUAAUUACAAAAUCAUCGCGCUCUUCUGAAGUUUUUUUGCACACACUGGACUCUCUGAGUCUCCCCAAACUGAGAUCAUCCCUCUGGGGAAGCAAUAUUUCCAAAGCUAUUCAGAGUGAAGUUUGGAACUGCAGAUCAGUUCUAGUUAAGCUGGUGUGCUAAAGUCAGUAAAGUGUGCACAUGCAGCAAGAGAAGGUCUGUUGCAAGCUGGAAGGGUUGUAGGCAAUCUGUAAUCACAGUGAGUGAGUGUCUCAAGGUGACAUCCCCUGAACCUGAAAAACACCCAUACACGGUGAGUCUGAGUCCUUCCUUUGGGAGCUUUCAGGGAAUCUGCGUUGUUCCUUGCAUUGUGCAGGGGCCAUUUUUGGACAUUUUGCCCUGAAACCAAAGUUUCUGGUUUGAGCCGUAUUUCAAAGUGCGUUAAAAUCCCCAUGCAGACUCUGAUUUUACUUUAGAAAUAAUGUCAAGGAAAUUAGAAGUGUCUAGUAAGCAGUUAGGAUAGUGUAAUUGGGCUCCUCAAUCACUUACUUAACAAUGAAUUGAGUGUGAUCAGAGGAAAGCAAGUCAUUGGGUCAUUUGGUCAAGGGAUGGACAGACAGCCCCUUUCAAGAGCUGUUCAUAACAUUUUCAGAUUCUUAAAACUCUUUUGGUGCAGAGCUAGGAAAUGGGUGUGUGUUUGGUGAGGGGGUUGUUGGAGCAAUGCAGAGGGCUGGGGAGCUGGGAGGGUGCAGAGCAAUGGCUUUCAUCCCUUGCCAACCUUUGCCCCUUAGGGCUGUGCUCUGGCACAGCUACCGAGGGGCCCACACCCUUGUUGUGUAAUGGAUUGUCCAGUCAGUGUUUUUGAAAAUCCAGUUCAAUGACUAGAGCUUUGACGAGGAACUGGAUUUCCAAAAGUCAUUUUUCUAUAAUCCCUCAAUGACUAAUGGAUCAUCCUUAAGGGAUCCAUUGUUCUCUGGGAGCUCAGAAGUGUGGACAGGAGGAAAUUUGGGCAUGUUCCCUUUUAGUGACAUGCUGUGAGAGAAGAAAAGUGGAGCCAUUUCUGCCCUCCCCCCUUUCCUUACAAAUAUUCCCCCCACACACACAUCCCUGAACAGUUCCUCCCCCUGGGUGAUCCACUGGGCUGAGGGAAGGGAUUCAGGGGCUUCCCUUUCCUCCACUGCACCCCAGUCAGGGGAAGGAACCCAGAACCUCCUCCUCAGGCUGCCCCCCAUCAGCAGGGAAGGAGAUCCGGGCUCACCCUCCUCUCCCCUGCCCCCCAUCCCUCCCCAUGCUGCCAUUCCUUGGAGAUCAGAGCAGUGUGUGGGGAGGCAAAGAGGUGGUCAAACCUGUGCAGUGGGGGGACGUAGGGGGCUUCAGCUCUGCCUCCCAACAUCCAUACAUCCCCCAUUUCUGUCCUUCCUUCAAAACAUGCCCCCCAGUGCUGAGACUGUGAUGGGGAGCUGGAAAUAAGCAUGUUCAGUGCAUGGCACAGGCACAGUGCUACGAUGGGAUAGGGAGCAGAGAACAAGCAUGCUUGGAGUAUGCACCAAGUUCUGUGCUAUGCUAACACCUGGUUGAGGAGGUGAGAACAGGCACAUUGGUGCAUGGCACAGGCCUACAAGCACUGGCAGUGAUGUGAGAUGAAACACCCACUGAGAUGAAUGGAGCAGUCACACCUCUCAUAGAUAUCAUUUCAGGCUGUGUUCAUCUGCAUGGUGUUCCCAUUUCACAGCUCUUUCAGCUUCCUGUGCUGCUGAUGUAUGCAAAGGGGCUCUAUACAUCCUAGGCCCAGACUUAGAGUAGAAGCUCUGCAGGCUUGUCUACACUGCAUAGUUAACUCGGGCAAGUACUUGAAUGUUUGCCCUAACUUGAAUCCUGUCCACAUACAAAUCAUGUCACUGAAAUAUGGAGGUGCUUUUUACUCGAGUAGCUUUGCUCAACCAGGGGUAUAGGGUAGUGUUUGAGUGAACCCAACUGGCUACCUGGUAACAUGACCACACUGCAGUGUGGAUGGAGGUGUAGAUUACUCAAGUGAUGCUAGUUGUCCAAUGUCUUCCCACAGUUUCUCUGGGCCAUGUGAGCAGUCAUUUUUUUUUAUCCUGUCUGUUUCUCCCCUACUUCCAGAUCAGAAGUCACUUGGCCCCUCUUAUAGGGCUGUUCUUCUUUGAGUAAUGUCUGUAUGGGUGCUCCGCUUCAGGUGUGCAUGUGCCCCGCCCCACAUGCCUUUGGUUAGAGCCAUUUGGUUGCAAUGACUGUUCCGGCUUCACAUGCACUCUAGCUAUCCUCGUGCCUCAUACGGAGGGUAUGUAGAAGAGUGUCGGACAAACCACGCUCAGUUCCUUCUCAAUUGCCUGGCCUGAGACGGAGCGACUAGUGGUGCCUGCUUUGACCUAGCUUACCUUUUAAUACAUCAGCUUAGUUUAGUUUUGCAUAGGUUAGUUUUUUCUAGUAUAGUUGAGAGUUUUUAUCAGGGGAUUUGAUCAUCAUCCUGCCACCUGCCCCCAACCUUCUGGAGAUUCUCUCCCAUUUUUUUUAUCUCAUGGGAGCAGAUUACUUCCAGUUCAUGUGUAUGCCUGUGCUACCCCCCUUCCACAUCCCUUUUCAAGGACCCAUUUCAUGAACAUUUGCUGGAGCAAGAAGUCCUGUCUCUCCUCUACACAGGAACUGUAGAACCAAUAACCGCCCAGCACAGAGGGAGGGGAUUCUAUUCCAAAUACUUUCUGGUUCCC